rnacentral:rRNA from 1 species
GAUGAACGCUGGCGGCGUGCCUAAUACAUGCAAGUCGAGCGAACGGACGAGAAGCUUGCUUUUCUGAUGUUAGCGGCGGACGGGUGAGUAACACGUGGAUAACCUACCUAUAAGACUGGGAUAACUUCGGGAAACCGGAUCUAAUACCGGAUAAUAUUUUGAACCGCAUGGUUCAAAAGUGAAAGACGGUCUUGCUGUCACUUAUAGAUGGAUCCGCGCUGCAUUAGCUAGUUGGUAAGGUAACGGCUUACCAAGGCAACGAUGCAUAGCCGACCUGAGAGGGUGAUCGGCCACACUGGAACUGAGACACGGUCCAGACUCCUACGGGAGGCAGCAGUAGGGAAUCUUCCGCAAUGGGCGAAAGCCUGACGGAGCAACGCCGCGUGAGUGAUGAAGGUCUUCGGAUCGUAAAAAUCUGUUAUUAGGGAAGAACAUAUGUGUAAGUAACUGUGCACAUCUUGACGGUAACUAAUCAGAAAGCCACGGCUAACUACGUG